GGCGGACGGGUGAAUAACGCGUAAGAACUUGCCCUUUAGACUGGGAUAACAGAGGGAAACUUCUGAUAAUACUGGAUAAGUUAGUAUAUCGCAUGAUAUGCAAAUGAAAGCUACGGCACUAAGGGAGAGCUUUGCGUCCUAUUAGCUAGUUGGUAAGGUAAGAGCUUACCAAGGCGAUGAUAGGUAGCCGGCCUGAGAGGGUGGACGGCCACAAGGGGACUGAGAUACGGCCCUUACUCCUACGGGAGGCAGCAGGC
rnacentral:rRNA from 1 species